UGGUAGCACAGUACUAGGAAAUGGGAUC
rnacentral:piRNA from 1 species